rnacentral:rRNA from 1 species
UAGGGAAUCUUCGGCAAUGGACGAAAGUCUGACCGAGCAACGCCGCGUGAGUGAAGAAGGUUUUCGGAUCGUAAAACUCUGUUGUUAGAGAAGAACAAGGAUGAGAAGAGAAUGUUCAUCCCUUGACGGUAUCUAACCAGAAAGCCACGGCUAACUACGUGCCAGCAGCCGCGGUAAUCGUAGGUGGCAAGCGUUGUCCGGAUUUAUUGGGCGUAAAGC